rnacentral:tRNA from 1 species
GGUCCUGUGGUCUAGUGGUAGUACGUCUUCCCAUUAACUGACGAAAUAUACAAAUAACUAACAAGCUUUCCAGUGAUUCUCGCUUAGGGAACUAAGCAUUCUUGCGAGAGGCCCCGCGUUCGAGUCGCGGCAGGACCC